rnacentral:rRNA from 1 species
AUAUCAAUAAGCGGAGGAAAAGAAACCAACAGGGAUUGCCUCAGUAACGGCGAGUGAAGCGGCAAGAGCUCAAAUUUGAAAGCUGGCCCCUUCGGGGUCCGCGUUGUAAUUUGCAGAGGAUGCUUCGGGUGCAGCCCCCGUCUAAGUGCCCUGGAACGGGCCGUCAUAGAGGGUGAGAAUCCCGUCUGGGACGGGGUGUCUGCGUCCGUGUGAAGCUCCUUCGACGAGUCGAGUUGUUUGGGAAUGCAGCUCUAAAUGGGUGGUAAAUUUCAUCUAAAGCUAAAUACUGGCCGGAGACCGAUAGCGCACAAGUAGAGUGAUCGAAAGAUACUUUGAAAAGAGAGUUAAACAGCACGUGAAAUUGUUGAAAGGGAAGCGUUUGCGACCAGACUCGCCCGCGGGGUUCAGCCGGCAUUCGUGCGGUGUACUUCCCCGUGGGCGGGCCAGCGUCGGUGCCGGUCAAAGGCCCUCGGAAUGUAUCACCUCUCGGGGUGUCUUAUAGCCGAGGGUGCAAUGCGGCCUGCCUGGACCGAGGAACGCGCUUCGGCUCGGACGCUGGCGUAAUGGUCGUAAAUGAC